rnacentral:misc_RNA from 1 species
AUACCACGAACGAGUCAACAACAUUGCCGACUCCAUCGUCGCCAAUGGCUUCUAUCCGCACAAGCCGCUCGGCGGUCUGCUGCUCGAUAGUGACCACGAUCACCUGUUCAUCCAUGAUGGCGAGCACCGGCUGGACGCGAUCCCGCUGGCACGCGAGCGUGGUGCGGAGAUCAAGGCGGUGCCGGUCGCUGUUGCGCCGCAGGGCACUACGGUCGAGGACCUGACCGUCAGCCUCGUCCAGUCGAAUACCGGCGAGCCCCUGUCUCCGGUCGAGAUGGGUGCCGUCAUCAAGCGGCUGCUGACCUACGGCCUCAGCAAAGAGGAUAUCGGCCGCCGGAUUGGCAAGACUGUUCGGC